UGGGGAAUAUUGGACAAUGGGCGAAAGCCUGAUCCAGCCAUGCCGCGUGUGUGAAGAAGGCCUUUUGGUUGUAAAGCACUUUAAGUGGGGAGGAAAAGCUUAUGGUUAAUACCCAUAAGCCCUGACGUUACCCACAGAAUAAGCACCGGCUAACUCUGUGCCAGCAGCCGCGGUAAUACAGAGGGUGCAAGCGUUAAUCGGAAUUACUGGGCGUAAAGCGCGCGUAGGUGGUUAUUUAAGUCAGAUGUGAAAGCCCCGGGCUUAACCUGGGAACUGCAUCUGAUACUGGAUAACUAGAGUAGGUGAGAGGGGAGUAGAAUUCCAGGUGUAGCGGUGAAAUGCGUAGAGAUCUGGAGGAAUACCGAUGGCGAAGGCAGCUCCCUGGCAUCAUACUGACACUGAGGUGCGAAAGCGUGGGUAGCAAACAGGAUUAGAUACCCUGGUAGUCCACGCCGUAAACGAUGUCUACCAGUCGUUGGGUCUUUUAAAGACUUAGUGACGCAGUUAACGCAAUAAGUAGACCGCCUGGGGAGUACGGCCGCAAGGU
rnacentral:rRNA from 1 species